rnacentral:tRNA from 1 species
UGUGUUGUGGCUCAGUGGUAAAGCACUUGCCUCACAUGUGUGAGGCACUGAGUUCGAUCCUCAGCACCACAU